rnacentral:miRNA from 1 species
GCAGACGUCGCCAGGAUCGCCAACGCGUCCGAAGGACUCGUCGUUGCCUACGGAUAUUCUGAAAAUUCUACGACAUUCAA